GCACCUUUUGGAUAUUCCAAAAGGUACACCUGUUUGAGUGUCAU
rnacentral:rRNA from 1 species